rnacentral:rRNA from 1 species
ACGGGUGAGUAAUGCCUAGGAAAUUGCCCUGAUGUGGGGGAUAACCAUUGGAAACGAUGGCUAAUACCGCAUGAUGCCUACGGGCCAAAGAGGGGGACCUUCGGGCCUCUCGCGUCAGGAUAUGCCUAGGUGGGAUUAGCUAGUUGGUGAGGUAAUGGCUCACCAAGGCGACGAUCCCUAGCUGGUCUGACAGGAUGAUCAGCCACACUGGAACUGAUACACGGUCCAGACUCCUACGGGAGGCAGCAGUGGGGAAUAUUGCACAAUGGGCGCAAGCCUGAUGCAGCCAUGCCGCGUGUGUGAAGAAGGCCUUCGGGUUGUAAAGCACUUUCAGUCGUGAGGAAGGUGGUAGUGUUAAUAGCACUAUCAUUUGACGUUAGCGACAGAAGAAGCACCGGCUAACUCCGUGCCAGCAGCCGCGGUAAUACGGAGGGUGCGAGCGUUAAUCGGAAUUACUGGGCGUAAAGCGCAUGCAGGUGGUUUGUUAAGUCAGAUGUGAAAGCCCGGGGCUCAACCUCGGAAUAGCAUUUGAAACUGGCAGACUAGAGUACUGUAGAGGGGGGUAGAAUUUCAGGUGUAGCGGUGAAAUGCGUAUAGAUCUGAAGGAAUACCGGUGGCGAACGCGGCCCCCUGGACAGAUACUGACACUCAGAUGCGACAGCGUGGGGAGCAAACAGGAUUAGAUACCCUGGUAGUCCACGCCGUACACGAUGUCUACUUGGAGGUUGUGGCCUUGAGCCGUGGCUUUCGGAGCUAACGCGUUAAGUAGACCGCCUGGGGAGUACCGGUCGCAAGAUUAAAACUCAUAUGAAUUUGACGGGGGCCCGCAC